GACGAACGCUGGCGGCGUGCUUAACACAUGCAAGUCGAACGGAAAGGCCCUGCUUGCAGGGUACUCGAGUGGCGAACGGGUGAGUAACACGUGGGUGAUCUGCCCUGCACUUCGGGAUAAGCCUGGGAAACUGGGUCUAAUACCGGAUAGGAGCCAUUUUUAGUGUGAUGGUUGGAAAGUUUUUUCGGUGUAGGAUGAGCUCGCGGCCUAUCAGCUUGUUGGUGGGGUAAUGGCCUACCAAGGCGGCGACGGGUAGCCGGCCUGAGAGGGUGGACGGCCACAUUGGGACUGGGCUACGGCCCAGACUCCUACGGGAGGCAGCAGUGGGGAAUAUUGCACCAUGGGCGCCAGCCUGGUGCAGCGACGCCGCGUGGGGGAUGACGGCCUUCGGGUUGUAAACUCCUUUCGCUAGGGACGAAGCUUUUUGUGACGGUACCUAGAUGAGAAGCACCGGCUAACUACGUG
rnacentral:rRNA from 1 species